UGCACCUUAGUAAUGUACCUGUUGCUAUUCAAAUAAUAUGUUAAUCUAUUAUUAAUCAUUUUUUCCAUUAUUUUGCAUAUAUGUGAUGUUAAAGCAAUGGGUCUAUAAUUUUCUGGUUUUGUGUUGUCUUUUCCUGGUUUAGUUAUUGGUUCGAUGAUUGACUCCUUCCAGCUCUGAGGCAGCUCCUCCUCCUCCCAGACUUUAUUAUAAAGCUCUAAUAUGACGUCUUUAGAUGUUUCACUGAGAUGUUGUAUCAUUGUGGAUCAGAUCUGAUCUUUACCAGUGAACCUCCAAGUGAUUUGGAAACCUGUUCUGGUCUGGGUGAGGUCUCCUCAAGACUGAAAAAUAAAAACGGGUUACGACAGCAUUAGGAGGAGUACUCUGUUCAUUUGGAUUAGAAGGAGCUCCUCACCUGUCUCCACAACAGCUGGCAUGGAUCUGUAAAAUAUCCAGCAGAUAUUCCUCUUCACAUACUGGACAAGCUGCCUCAAAUUAAAAACUAAAAAAUGAAAUGGAG